UUUGAUUGAGCAGAAACAAUCACAGUUUAUUACCGAAUACUUGGCUAUGGCGGAAAAUGAAGAACUUCGGUCAAGUUUCGGAUGUCCUACUAUUUUCGUCACGUUUGGAAGGGAAAAAAAGAAAAAUCGUCAGCGCAUUCUGGUCAUCAUAUUAUGGAAAUAUUUGUGACUGAAUCCCAUCUGAAUGUUGGAUGACAUAUAUCAAGAUGACACUGAACAGGACAUAACUGAGGAAAAUGGAUGUGAGAGAAUCCAAUCUAACAGUUGGAAAUAAAUAUAUAUAUUAUUUA